rnacentral:rRNA from 1 species
GAUGAACGCUGGCGGCGUGCUUAACACAUGCAAGUCGAACGAAGCACUUUAUUACGAUUUCUUCGGAAUGACGAUUUAGUGACUGAGUGGCGGACGGGUGAGUAACGCGUGGAUAACCUGCCUCACACAGGGGGGACAACAGUUGGAAACGACUGCUAAUACCGCAUAAUACAAGUAAUUCGCAUGAAUAACUUGCCAAAGAUUAUAUCGGUGUGAGAUGGAUCCGCGUCUGAUUAGCCAGUUGGCGGGUAACGGCCCACCAAAGCGACGAUCAGUAGCCGACCUGAGAGGGUGACCGGCCACAUUGGGACUGAGACACGGCCCAAACUCCUACGGGAGGCAGCAGUGGGGAAUAUUGGCACAAUGGGCGCAAGCCUGAUGCAGCGACGCCGCGUGAAGGAUGAAGUAUUCGGUAUGUAAACGUUCUAUCAGCAGGGAAGAAAAUGACGGUACCUGACUAAGAAG